UUCAACCGAGAAGCCGUAUCGAUAUCUUGAGUCCAUCCCGGAAGCUCGAAAGAAGACACCCUGGGAGCCAUGAAGACGUUAUGCUUUUACUAGUUUCUAGUUUCUAUGCUCUUUACUAUUUUUCUAGUUUCAGAGUUCUUUAAUGCUUUCAAGUUUCUCGGUUUUAACUUUCUAGAUUCAAUGUUUUCAUAGUUUCAAUGCUUUGUCUUUAUUUCUUUGACAAUAUAAGCCAUCAAAUUCCUUGUACAAGAUGGACGACUUUUGAUGAAUGAAAAUUUUUCUUUCAAGCAAGUAUCGUGAAC
rnacentral:lncRNA from 1 species